GACGAACGCUGGCGGCGUGCUUAACACAUGCAAGUCGAACGGAAAGGCCCUGCUUUUGUGGGGUGCUCGAGUGGCGAACGGGUGAGUAACACGUGAGUAACCUGGCCUUGACUUUGGGAUAACUUCAGGAAACUGGGGCUAAUACCGGAUAGGAGCUCCUGCUGCAUGGUGGGGGUUGGAAAGUUUCGGCGGUUGGGGAUGGACUCGCGGCUUAUCAGCUUGUUGGUGGGGUAGUGGCUUACCAAGGCUUUGACGGGUAGCCGGCCUGAGAGGGUGACCGGCCACAUUGGGACUGAGAUACGGCCCAGACUCCUACGGGAGGCAGCAGUGGGGAAUAUUGCACAAUGGGCGGAAGCCUGAUGCAGCAACGCCGCGUGCGGGAUGACGGCCUUCGGGUUGUAAACCGCUUUCGCCUGUGACGAAGCGUGAGUGACGGUAAUGGGUGAAGAAGCACCGGCUAACUACGUG
rnacentral:rRNA from 1 species